rnacentral:lncRNA from 1 species
AUGGGGACAAGUCAUCCUAGUGACCUCACACUGACACAGUCACUAGGCCCUGCCUCUGGGUGUUUCAGAGAAAACUCCAGACAGAGGGGUAUGGAAACGCUCCAAGGGCUGCCUUAUCUAGGGUAAAAGCCACGCGACACUCUGUGAGGGCCAGAUCAGGGUCGUUGGACUGCUGAUAGGGACACCAAGGCCGAGGUCAGGGUCCCUCUGUGCUAGUCCUAAGCCACACAAGCCCCUGAAUUUCUGGACCUCACGGCAUCCUGAGUCUCGGCUCCCCUCCAUACCAUCCCGGGGAAUCUGCCUGGGGCUCUCAUGGCUAGACACAGAGCAGGAGCCCAGGUAGCUCUACAGCCUAAGGAAGACACCCAGGAAACCGAAGCAUGGGAAAGCACUGGGAAAUCCCCACUCCAGUCCUAAACCUGCUGGAGCAGGGUCCCAGCAACUGUUUCCCCAACCCAGAAGCGCAGCACCUGCCCAGCCAGGAACUUAGAGAAAUGAAGGCCUCCCCUAAUCCCAGGACAGUAAUACUGUUUUUUUCCCUGUUUACAGACAAGAACCCUGGGCUCAGAGCCAUUUGGUCACAUGACCAGGGCCCUCUCUGCAAAAGAGGCAGAGCCAAGUCCCCUGACCCCAAAGUGCAGGCCUCACAGUACUGUCAGAGCGCCUGAAUGGUGGAGGGGGCUGAGGGCUUUCUUCCCAGCCCAGAUCAUCUUGCCCCACGCCUCAGCCUUGAGCAUCUACCCAGGAAGAGACCUACUCUUCAUCUGCAGGCACUGAAGGCCCAUUUCACACAUCACCAUCUGGGUUGGUCUAGGAGAGCCUUAGAAAGCUGGAGAUUUUUCUCGACAAAGCAGCCUGGGUUAUUUCAGAGGAGGAACCUGCUGCAAGGAGAAGCAGAAACUUGGGCCCAUCCUCCAGGCCUCAGCAUUCCAGAGGCCAGAUGUGUGAGCCUGACGUCAUCCACCAAGUCAUGGCCCCACUCCAGGCUGCCCUCCGCUGGCUUGCAAACCCUGUUCCUCCAUGCUGUCUCCUCCUCCCUUUCUUCGGCAUGA